ACAAUUUUUUACAUUUUUAUUUUCAAUGACUUAAAACCAAAAUCACCCAGUAUGCACAGGUCUAUUUGUAAAACUGCUUUUCAUUAAAAAAAAAUUUUUUUGUGGCACAAAUAGCAAACACCAAAUUGACAGGAGUAGAAUAUAGGAAAAUAUAGCACAGUUAAAGAAACAAAAUAUAUAAAUAUUAACAUAAUUUUCAGUAAAUCAAAUGAAAUAUUAUUUUUUUUUAACUAAUCUCUUUGGCACUCAAUGUAAAAGUUGAAAAAAACAAACUUUUCCUCUACAUUGGAAUAGUGAGCUUCAGCUACCAGUACUAACACAAACAUAGGCAGAUUACACAAUCAUUGAAUGUUAAGGAAUCAUAACCAAGAAUGACCAUAACCAUGGGUGCAUUGGUUGAUAAUAGAAACUUGUCUAAAAUGUAGGCUAUAGAGCUAGUUAACUAGUUGAAGAAAAAUACAUAACCAGUCUACAAAGCUGAUAAAAAAAAUAGAUAAAAGAAUUGCACUAAUAAGAGAAAGCAGUAAAGAAUUUAGUAAAAAACAAAUCUGAAACAGAUUUUUAAAAAAGCUUAAUAUUAAAUUUAUAUAGUAUAAAAAAAAAUCCAAUUACUAAAAUUGUAGUCCAUUUACUAAUUAUGUUUUUUUUUAAAAUCUGAAAAUUGUUCAAUAAUUGGCAAGACAACAACAACAAAGUAAAAUGUUGAAUAAAUUUGAAAUGCAAAGACACCCUGGCAACAAUCAGUUUCAAAAGUGAAUUUUUAAAAUACAUGAAGAAAAAAAAGAGAAAACAAAAAGUGGAGUUAUGAUAAACCAAAUUCUAUAACAAAUGCAAAAAAAACCCCAAAAAACUGGACAUUCUAAUGCCUUGUAAAUAAAGCUUCUUUCAGUGGUUUGUUUGAAGCUCUGCUACAAUGUAAAGUUUGUGGUUGAUUGGCCCUAACCCAUUCUGUCCAAUAAACUAAUACAAUUAUUGUUUUUCCAUUUUUUCUCUAUUAGUUCUUUACAAACAUUAUUGACAAACAUUCACAAAUUAAUAUAUUGUCAACAAAAUGCCCUUAACUCUGUAAAUGUGAAUACAUUUUAAAUAUCCAAUUCAAAACAUCGGUACAUGCCUGGUCAACACUUUACCUCUGUUUAAACAUACACUUAUAAUUACAUUUAUACAAGAGCCACUUGUUGAGGGGAGUCAUUGACAUCUGAAGAAAUGCAUUUAUUGAGAUAAAUAAAUGCCAUAUAAACUAUAUGAAUUUAAACAAAUUUAAAAACUCAGGCUAAAAAAAAUAAUGCGGAUGAGGUAUAAACUAUAUGAAUUUAAAUAAAACUAAAACUCAGGCUAAAACAAAUAAUGUGGUAUACAGAAUAAAUUGAGAAGUAGCAAUGCUCACUAAUAACAAUAUUUGAAUUAAUGCACACAUAGAAAAAUAUAUUCAGUUUUCAAUUUGAAGAGUUGACAUUAAAAGUAAAUAGUUAUGUUAUCUAUGCACAUUAUAAUGCUUGUUACAUUAGUUUGCUUUGGUUUUGUGCAGUCGAGCAGCUAUGAAAAGUGCAACAUGUUCAUCUGACUCAUUCAAUAGCAUAACAAAUAUUAAUGUUAUAUAAAAUAAUGUACAUUAUGAGUUUUCUCAGAGUAAAAUUAUCUUUGACAAUAUUACAACUUCAAAUAGGAAUUAUUUGGCUUCAUGAAUAGUAGUUUACAUGUAUAAGCGGUGAAUUUAAGAAACAACAUUGAAUAGAAAGAUAAGAGGCAUUUUAGUUAAUAUUCAGCAUUACUCAAACCUGUUAAAUAUUUCAAAAAAUGAUGUAUAUCUAUUAGCAUAAUAACAUAAACUUUGUAGGCUAUAAAGCACCUAAUGAACAACAACAUAAAAAUGACCAAUCAAAAAAAAAAAAAAAAAAAAAAAAAAAAA